GAUGAACGCUGGCGGCGUGCUUAACACAUGCAAGUCGAACGGGAAUUAUUUUAUUGAAACUUCGGUCGAUUUAAUUUAAUUCUAGUGGCGGACGGGGGAGUAACGCGUGGGUAACCUGCCUUAUACAGGGGGAUAACAGUCAGAAAUGGCUGCUAAUACCGCAUAAGCGCACAGAGCUGCAUGGCUCAGUGUGAAAAACUCCGGUGGUAUAAGAUGGACCCGCGUUGGAUUAGCUGGUUGGUGGGGUAACGGCCCACCAAGGCGACGAUCCAUAGCCGGCCGGAGAGGGUGAACCGCCACAUUGGGACUGAGGCACGGCCCAGACUGCGACGGGGGGCAGCAGUGGGGAAUAUUGCACAAUGGAGGAAACCCUGAUGCAGCGACGCCGCGUGAAGGAAGAAGUAUCUCGGUAUGUAAACUUCUAUCAGCAGGGAAGAUAGUGACGGUACCUGACUAAGAAGCCCCGGCUAACUACGUG
rnacentral:rRNA from 1 species